UACAGAGGUCUCAAGCGUUGUUCGGAUUCAUUGGGCGUAAAGGGUGCGUAGGCGGCCAGGUAGGUCUGCUGUGAAAACUCGAGGCUCAACCUCGAGACGUCGGCGGAAACCAUCUGGCUAGAGUCCGGAAGAGGAGAGUGGAAUUCCUGGUGUAGCGGUGAAAUGCGCAGAUAUCAGGAAGAACACCCGUGGCGAAGGCGGCUCUCUGGGACGGUACUGACGUUGAGACGCGAAAGCGUGGGGAGCGAACAGG
rnacentral:rRNA from 1 species